rnacentral:rRNA from 4 species
AGAGUUUGAUCCUGGCUCAGGAUGAACGCUGGCGGCGUGCCUAAUACAUGCAAGUCGAGCGAACGGACGAGAAGCUUGCUUCUCUGAUGUUAGCGGCGGACGGGUGAGUAACACGUGGAUAACCUACCUAUAAGACUGGGAUAACUUCGGGAAACCGGAGCUAAUACCGGAUAAUAUUUUGAACCGCAUGGUUCAAAAGUGAAAGACGGUCUUGCUGUCACUUAUAGAUGGAUCCGCGCUGCAUUAGCUAGUUGGUAAGGUAACGGCUUACCAAGGCAACGAUGCAUAGCCGACCUGAGAGGGUGAUCGGCCACACUGGAACUGAGACACGGUCCAGACUCCUACGGGAGGCAGCAGUAGGGAAUCUUCCGCAAUGGGCGAAAGCCUGACGGAGCAACGCCGCGUGAGUGAUGAAGGUCUUCGGAUCGUAAAACUCUGUUAUUAGGGAAGAACAUAUGUGUAAGUAACUGUGCACAUCUUGACGGUACCUAAUCAGAAAGCCACGGCUAACUACGUGCCAGCAGCCGCGGUAAUACGUAGGUGGCAAGCGUUAUCCGGAAUUAUUGGGCGUAAAGCGCGCGUAGGCGGUUUUUUAAGUCUGAUGUGAAAGCCCACGGCUCAACCGUGGAGGGUCAUUGGAAACUGGAAAACUUGAGUGCAGAAGAGGAAAGUGGAAUUCCAUGUGUAGCGGUGAAAUGCGCAGAGAUAUGGAGGAACACCAGUGGCGAAGGCGACUUUCUGGUCUGUAACUGACGCUGAUGUGCGAAAGCGUGGGGAUCAAACAGGAUUAGAUACCCUGGUAGUCCACGCCGUAAACGAUGAGUGCUAAGUGUUAGGGGGUUUCCGCCCCUUAGUGCUGCAGCUAACGCAUUAAGCACUCCGCCUGGGGAGUACGACCGCAAGGUUGAAACUCAAAGGAAUUGACGGGGACCCGCACAAGCGGUGGAGCAUGUGGUUUAAUUCGAAGCAACGCGAAGAACCUUACCAAAUCUUGACAUCCUUUGACAACUCUAGAGAUAGAGCCUUCCCCUUCGGGGGACAAAGUGACAGGUGGUGCAUGGUUGUCGUCAGAUCGUGUCGUGAGAUGUUGGGUUAAGUCCCGCAACGAGCGCAACCCUUAAGCUUAGUUGCCAUCAUUAAGUUGGGCACUCUAAGUUGACUGCCGGUGACAAACCGGAGGAAGGUGGGGAUGACGUCAAAUCAUCAUGCCCCUUAUGAUUUGGGCUACACACGUGCUACAAUGGACAAUACAAAGGGCAGCGAAACCGCGAGGUCAAGCAAAUCCCAUAAAGUUGUUCUCAGUUCGGAUUGUAGUCUGCAACUCGACUACAUGAAGCUGGAAUCGCUAGUAAUCGUAGAUCAGCAUGCUACGGUGAAUACGUUCCCGGGUCUUGUACACACCGCCCGUCACACCACGAGAGUUUGUAACACCCGAAGCCGGUGGAGUAACCUUUUAGGAGCUAGCCGUCGAAGGUGGGACAAAUGAUUGGGGUGAAGUCGUAACAAGGUAGCCGUAUCGGAAGGUGCGGCUGGAUCACCU